CUUGAUCGACCCGAGCAACAGCGGCCGAUCCUCCGGCCGCUCCUGCCCGUACGUGGCCAGCAGCGCCUGCGCCUC
rnacentral:antisense_RNA from 1 species